UGCAGUCGAACGGAAAGGCCCUUCGGGGUACUCGAGUGGCGAACGGGUGAGUAACACGUGGGUGAUCUGCCCCGCACUCUGGGAUAAGCCUGGGAAACUGGGUCUAAUACCGGAUAGGACCACACACUUCAUGGUGAGUGGUGCAAAGCUUUUGCGGUGUGGGAUGAGCCCGCGGCCUAUCAGCUUGUUGGUGAGGUAAUGGCCCACCAAGGCGACGACGGGUAGCCGGCCUGAGAGGGUGACCGGCCACACUGGGACUGAGAUACGGCCCAGACUCCUACGGGAGGCAGCAGUGGGGAAUAUUGCACAAUGGGCGCAAGCCUGAUGCAGCGACGCCGCGUGAGGGAUGACGGCCUUCGGGUUGUAAACCUCUUUCAGUAGGGACGAAGCGAAAGUGACGGUACCUACAGAAGAAGGACCGGCCAACUACGUGCCAGCAGCCGCGGUAAUACGUAGGGUCCGAGCGUUGUCCGGAAUUACUGGGCGUAAAGAGCUCGUAGGUGGUUUGUCACGUUGUUCGUGAAAACCCACAGCUUAACUGUGGGCGUGCGGGCGAUACGGGCAGACUAGAGUACUGCAGGGGAGACUGGAAUUCCUGGUGUAGCGGUGGAAUGCGCAGAUAUCAGGAGGAACACCGGUGGCGAAGGCGGGUCUCUGGGCAGUAACUGACGCUGAGGAGCGAAAGCGUGGGUAGCGAACAGGAUUAGAUACCCUGGUAGUCCACGCCGUAAACGGUGGGUACUAGGUGUGGGUUUCCUUCCUUGGGAUCCGUGCCGUAGCUAACGCAUUAAGUACCCCGCCUGGGGAGUACGGUCGCAAGACUAAAACUCAAAGGAAUUGACGGGGGCCCGCACAAGCGGCGGAGCAUGUGGAUUAAUUCGAUGCAACGCGAAGAACCUUACCUGGGUUUGACAUGCGCAGGACGUAUCUAGAGAUAGGUAUUCCCUUGUGGCCUGCGUGCAGGUGGUGCAUGGCUGUCGUCAGCUCGUGUCGUG
rnacentral:rRNA from 1 species